GACGAACGCUGGCGGCGUGCUUAACACAUGCAAGUCGUACGGUAAGGCCCUUUCGGGGGUACACGAGUGGCGAACGGGUGAGUAACACGUGCGUAACCUGCCCACAACUUUGGGAUAACGCUAGGAAACUGGUGCUAAUACUGGAUAUGUGCUCCUGCUGCAUGGUGGGGGUUGGAAAGCUCCGGCGGUUGUGGAUGGACUCGCGGCCUAUCAGCUUGUUGGUGGGGUAGUGGCCUACCAAGGCGGCGACGGGUAGCCGGCCUGAGAGGGUGACCGGCCACAUUGGGACUGAGAUACGGCCCAGACUCCUACGGGAGGCAGCAGUGGGGAAUAUUGCACAAUGGGCGCAAGCCUGAUGCAGCAACGCCGCGUGCGGGAUGACGGCCUUCGGGUUGUAAACCGCUUUCAGCAGGGACGAAGCUUUUUGUGACGGUACCUGCAGAAGAAGCACCGGCUAACUACGU
rnacentral:rRNA from 1 species